CGGGCCCUGGACAGGCUGCAUACAGGCUGGGUACAGACUAACACCUGGAGACUGAGGUGACGUCACAGCCGAUGGACUCGAUGAGGAGAUGGAAACACUGCGACUGUUGCUCCUCUGGAGUUUAACUCAUUGUUCCACACAUAACCACAGGUCAGGGGUCAAAGGUCAAGUCCUCCAUCCUGCUGCAUGGUUACAGUCUAUUUAACUGAGCAGCAGCAAAGGACGAAUGUACAGUCUCCUGUUCCUGGUCACAUGUUUGAGUCAGGAGCACAGGUGUGAAGAGGGGGUGUGGCCAGGGAGAAAUGUUUGGAGCAGGUGAAACAAAGACAGAAGAUCUGAGAAAUAAAAUGAGGACUCAUUCACGUCAAGGAUGUUGGAUCCAGAGAGAGGAGAUCCAGGAGCAGAGACCAGGUCUAGACCAGAGUAUGAACCCCCAGUUCAGCUUCUGGUCCUUUAGAAAACCUCCUGAAUGACUGAUACUGAAGGAAUAUGGAACUACAAAUAAAAUGCCAUCAGUUGUUUGACAAUGGAGACGACAACUCCCGCAAUCCCACAACGUCGUCAUCAAUCUACGACAAACUAAAUGGACUGGAGAGAGCACUGCUGGAAAAAUAUUAUAAGGUCACAGACGCUGGCAGCAACAAAACACAGAGACGGAGCCGGGGCUGCUGGGAAACGGGAUGAUUUCCCCCCUGAAACUCUCCUGAUGUUUACAGCUUUAUUGUGAUAAAACAAGAGAUAAACAAAGAGGAGUUCUGCAGAGCUGCAAGUAGCACAACAACAACCACAACUGCAACACAAACCACAGACCUCCUGCUGCUGCUGCUGCACGAGCUGCAGUAACUCUACACUACACCAGGAUCAGAUCCACAUCAGACCUGGAUCAGCAAGACCCAGACCAGAGACACAGCAGGAGGCUCACACCUGACUAACUGUGUCUAUACAGAGCGCUAACACUGGGCUGGUUCCAUUUUAAUUCUGAGGCUACAUCCAAGCUAAUACGGUCUAGUUUUAAGACCCACCUCUGUUGCUAUGGUGACGCCUGGCGUUCAAGCUACACCAAAGUUCUUGAGCCCCUAAAACCAAGACUUUUGGAAACGCAGUGGGACCAGUUUUAUGGUGCGUUCCAUUUAUGUCGGAAGUCUGAACUGGGAGUGACGUCACCUCCGAGUUGACCACGUUCCAGGUGCAAAUUCAGAAAAACAUGGACGCUCACAGGAAAGCCUUUGCUGUUGAGUAUCUAAUAUGUAUAUGGAGG